rnacentral:rRNA from 1 species
CAGUCGCCACGGUAAUACGAAGGGGGCUAGCGUUGCUCGGAAUGACUGGGCGUAAAGGGCGCGUAGGCGGCGAUCAAAGUCAGGCGUGAAAUUCCUGGGCUCAACCUGGGGGCUGCGUUUGAUACUUGGUUGCUAGAGUGAGGAAGAGGGUCGUGGAAUUCCCAGUGUAGAGGUGAAAUUCGUAGAUAUUCGGAAGAACACCAGUGGCGAAGGCGGCUCACUGGACGCGUAUUGACGCUGAGGUGCGAAAGCGUGGGGAGCAAACAGGAUUAGAUACCCGGGUAGUCCCUGUCUCUUAUAC